AGCAUGGUGGCUCAGUGGUUAGCACUGUUUCCUCACAGCAAGAAGAUCCUGGGUUCAAAUCCCAGGUCCUGUUC